GAUGAACGCUGGCGGCGUGCCUAAUACAUGCAAGUCGAGCGAACAGACGAGGAGCUUGCUCCUCUGACGUUAGCGGCGGACGGGUGAGUAACACGUGGAUAACCUACCUAUAAUACUGGGAUAACUUCGGGAAACCGGAGCUAAUACCGGAUAACAUGUUGAACCGCAUGGUUCAACAGUGAAAGACGGUCUUGCUGUCACUUAUAGAUGGAUCCGCGCCGCAUUAGCUAGUUGGUAAGGUAACGGCUUACCAAGGCAACGAUGCGUAGCCGACCUGAGAGGGUGAUCGGCCACACUGGAACUGAGACACGGUCCAGACUCCUACGGGAGGCAGCAGUAGGGAAUCUUCCGCAAUGGGCGAAAGCCUGACGGAGCAACGCCGCGUGAGUGAAGAAGGUCUUCGGAUCGUAAAACUCUGUUAUUAGGGAAGAACAAAUGUGUAAGUAACUAUGCACGUCUUGACGGUACCUAAUCAGAAAGCCACGGCUAACUACGUG
rnacentral:rRNA from 1 species